AGCUAAAAAGCUACAGGCUGACAUUUCAAGUGCUAACCAACCCAUCCAAAUGACAGGUGAAAAAAAGAGAUGUGUUUCAGUAAAAACUAUCUUUCACUGUUCCACAGGUUAUAAGCGGAUACCUUAGAAACUGAAGAUUUGAGUUUGCCAACAUAAUCCCAGACUGUCUUCGGUGCGAUCCUCCCACCAACGUGAAUCGUGUCGGGCAAGUCCUAAACAGAAAGCACUGUGAGUAAAUUCCUGCUGAAACACCAGCCCAUACAGAGACUGCUGUGGCCACUUCAAGGUACCCAACUAUGUGAACUUCAAGAAAACCACAACCACUUCAAGAAAAAUGACAUAAAACAGGCUUGGUUAGCUCAGACUGCAUCUGAAAGACGCACCUGAUGUUCGGGGAUGGUGGAAGUGACAAGUAUCUGGAAUCGGGUGAAGAGGACGGCUUAGCCAGGAUGGACUUGGGCAUCGUGACCGAAGUCAGGGCAGGCUUCGGAGCAUCUUGUCUGGUCUCUGCCGUGUGGGCGCUGUCCAGAGAGCUGCUGGGGCGGGGGGCUGCUGUGGGGGCCGUGACUGCACACGAGGCACCUGACGCAGUCCUGGGGUCCCUGCCAGACACCGUGACCGUGGCCACCAGAACUCAGGUCUUCAGGAACCAGGGAAGACGAGCCCGAGGCCCACUGCAGCCCCACUCUGGCUCGUGUCCGACCGCAGCAGAGCCAGAGCACACAGAGGCCUGAACGCCGACGGCAUUAGGGAGCUUGCUUCGGCACACCACGCGAGGGCAGGGGCAGAAGAGGAACAAGACGGAUACGGGGCCGCUUCCCGGCAAGUCCCCCAGGAUUGCCUUGGAGGUGGCUGCAGGCAUCACAUGACAGACCAAUGCUGGGGGCCCCAGAGCUACACUGGGAGGCGAUCAGAUCCCACAAGGUGGGACAAACUGACUCGGCCUUCCCAGGGCGGGCCCUCUUCCCACACGCCUCCCAUGAGCCCUAAAAACUCCCGAGCACCAGAUGGGGAAAUUCUUCCAACAGAUGUUUCAGAUCCCUUCCAUUCUAACCAGGGAAUAAAAAGUGUCACUGCUCUUCCCACCAAUGUUCAAACUGUUCCGAUAAACCUGGCGGAAGGCAUGAAAGCAAGGGCGAGGGAUGAUUUAAAGCCUGAUCCAACAAACGGAGCCGCCAGGAGGCCUUCAGAACUCUAGGGGCCGGUGCGGGAGCCCACCAGUCCCCAGCAGCCUGUAACCACGGCACUGCCCGCGGUGAGUGCAUUCUGAUUUACACACUAAUUGGCACUGAAAGCCUGGGGCUUCAAGUUUUUUCACUUUAUACUAUAAAGUUCCUUAAUUUUACAAAAUUUGCAACAGUACUAUGGACCCAAAACUUCCAGCCCCAAGCAAUCACGACUUCCCAAGAUCCCUGUGCCCCCUACCCC